UACGUAGGGUGCGAGCGUUAUUCGGAAUUACUGGGCGUAAAGCGUGCGCAGGCGGUUUUGUAAGCCAGAUGUGAAAUCCCCGGGCUUAACCUGGGAAUGGCAUUUGGGACUGCAAGGCUGGAGUUUGGCAGAGGAGACUGGAAUUCCUGGUGUAGCAGUGAAAUGCGUAGAUAUCAGGAGGAAUACCGAUGGCGAAGGCAGGUCUCUGGGCUAUAACUGACGCUCAGGCACGAAAGCGUGGGGAGCAAACAGG
rnacentral:rRNA from 1 species